rnacentral:rRNA from 1 species
AUGUUACGGGAGAGAUGUGGCCUCCGUGAUAGUGUAUAUGUGACCGUGAAAGAGAAAGUUGCAACGUUCUUGCUUGUAGUUGGUCAUAGUAUUAAUAUGAGGAUGUUGCGUGGCACCUACAAGCGUUAUUUAUGGACCACUAGCACACACUUCUCUGCUGUUCUAACAGCCCUACUCUCUCUACAUGGGAAGUUCAUUAAGCUACCUUCCUCUACCGCUCAAGCUCCUGAUGAUUACAAAUGAAAGUGGUCUGGUGAUGUACUUGAAGCACUGGAUGGUUGUCAUACUGACAUGCUUGUUGAUGUGGCUGACCAAGGAAGGUAUAGGAACCGAAAGCAAGCGAUUAGCACUAACAUGCUAGGUGUCGUUGAUUGGAACAGGCGAAUUUGUAUUCGUGUCAUUUCAGUCUCCUCACUGAUUUGGAAUUCCAAAUCAAUUCAAAUGGAGCUCUCCAAUGGAGACAUCCAAACAAAGCGUAAUGGCAAAAUCUCCCCGGAUGUUUGUCUGCCUCAUGUGCUUUGUGCUUCUAUGCACCAGCCUUCGAGUCCACGGUAUGUUUGUCAUAUUCAUAUCUAUUUUACCAUUCCAUAUAGAUCUUUGAAUUGGGUCUUGUUGUACCCAUCCAUCCAUCGGUUUAGGAGUUUUAGUCUGUACUAUCAAGUUUGA